UGGUGUGUAGCUGGGGCUGUAAGUGAUGGCUAGUGGUGUUCUGUUAUUUUCCUUGUUGGGCCUGUCCUAUGUAGGUACCUUCUGGGUACCCAUUUCGCUCAGUCAAUCUGUUUCCUCACUUCCCCAGGUGGGUAUUGUAGUUUUAAGAAUGCUUGAUAAAGAUACUAUAGAGGUUUGUCUCAGUCUG